rnacentral:rRNA from 1 species
AGAAUCAACGCUGGCGGCGUGCCUAACACAUGCAAGUCGAACGAGAAAGUGGAGCAAUCCAUGAGUAAAGUGGCGCACGGGUGAGUAACACGUGACUAACCUACCCUUGAGUGGGGAAUAACUGAGGGAAACCUUAGCUAAUACCGCAUAAUACCUACGGGUCAAAGGAGCAAUUCGCUUAAGGAGGGGUCGCGGCAGAUUAGCUAGUUGGCGGGGUAAUGGCCCACAAGGCAGUGAUCUGUA